rnacentral:tRNA from 1 species
UCGAAAAUGUAGUUUAAUUAAAACAUUAGCAUUGGAAGCUAAAGAUUAGGUAUUAAUCCUACAUUUCGAA